UACAGAGGGGGCAAGCGUUAUUCGGAAUUAUUGGGCGUAAAGGGCGCGUAGGCGGCUUGGCAAGUGGAUGGUGAAAUCCCUCGGCUCAACCGAGGAACUGCCGUCCAAACUGCUUGGCUUGAGACCGGGAGAGGUGAGUGGAAUUCCCAGUGUAGCGGUGAAACGCGUAGAUAUUGGGAGGAACACCAGUGGCGAAGGCGGCUCACUGGACCGGUACUGACGCUGAGGCGCGAAAGCGUGGGGAGCAAACGGG
rnacentral:rRNA from 1 species